ACGAACGCUGGCGGCGCGCCUAAUACAUGCAAGUCGAGCGAGAAGACGUAGCAAUACGUUUGUAAAGCGGCGAACGGGUGAGGAAUACAUGGGGUAACCUACCCUCGAGUGGGGAAGUAACUAGCCGAAGGUUAGCUAAUACCGCGUACGCUCCUUGGACUUCGGUUCAGGGAGGAAAGCGAUACCGUGGGUAUCGCGCUCUUGGAUGGGCUCAUGUCCUAUCAGCUUGUUGGUGAGGUAACGGCUCACCAAGGCUUCGACGGGUAGGCUGGUCUGAGAGGACGGAUCAGCCACACUGGCACUGCGACACGGGCCAGACUCCUACGGGAGGCAGCAGUAAGGAAUAUUGCGCAAUGGGCGAAAGCCUGACGCAGCGACGCCGCGUGGGGG
rnacentral:rRNA from 1 species